GAUGAACGCUAGCUACAGGCUUAACACAUGCAAGUCGAGGGGUAACGAGAGGGAAGCUUGCUUUCCUUGUCGACGACCGGCGCACGGGUGAGUAACGCGUAUCCAACCUGCCCCCAACUAGGGAAUAACCUUGCGAAAGUAAGACUAAUACCCUAUAAUUUCCUCAGAUGCCAUCUGACGAGCAAUAAAGAUUUAUCGGUUGUGGAUGGGGAUGCGUCUGAUUAGCUUGUUGGCGGGGUAACGGCCUACCAAGGCAACGAUCAGUAGGGGUUCUGAGAGGAAGGUCCCCCACAUUGGAACUGAGACACGGUCCAAACUCCUACGGGAGGCAGCAGUGAGGAAUAUUGGUCAAUGGGCGGAAGCCUGAACCAGCCAAGUAGCGUGCAGGAUGACGGCCCUAUGGGUUGUAAACUGCUUUUAUACAGGAAUAAAGUUAGCCACGUGUGGUUAUUUGUAGGUACUGUAUGAAUAAGGACCGGCUAAUUCCGUGCCAGCAGCCGCAGUAA
rnacentral:rRNA from 1 species